CUGCUGCCUCCCGUAGGAGUCUGGGCCGUGUCUCAGUCCCAGUGUGGCCGGUCACCCUCUCAGGUCGGCUACUGAUCGUCGGCUUGGUGGGCCGUUACCCCGCCAACUACCUAAUCAGACGCGGGUCCAUCCCAUACCACCGGAGUUUUGACCCCUGUGCCAUGCGGCACUGUGGUCUUAUGCGGUAUUAGCACUCAUUUCUGAAUGUUAUCCCCCGGUAUGGGGCAGGUUACCCACGCGUUACUCACCCGUCCGCCACU
rnacentral:rRNA from 1 species